rnacentral:rRNA from 1 species
CCUACGGGAGGCAGCAGUAGGGAAUCUUUCACAAUGGGCGAAAGCCUGAUGGAGCAACGCCGCGUGCAGGAUGAAGGCCUUCGGGUUGUAAACUGCUUUUAUAAGCGAGAAAUAUGAUGGUAACUUAUGAAUAAGGAUCGGCUAACUACGUGCCAGCAGCCGCGGUCAUACGUAGGAUCCGAGCAUUAUCCGGAGUGACUGGGUGUAAAGAGUUGCGUAUGUGGCAUAAUAAGUAGCUAGUGAAAUCUGGUGGCUCAAACAUUCAGACUAUUAGCUAAACUGUUAAGCUCGAGACCGUUAGGGGUAACUGGAAUUUCUAGUGUAGGAGUGAAAUCCGUAGAUAUUAGGAGGAACACCGAUGGCGUAGGCAGGUUGCUGGGACGGUUCUGACACUAAGGCACGAAAGCGUAGGGAGCAAACGGGAUUAGAUACCCUUGUAGUC